rnacentral:rRNA from 1 species
GAUGAACGCUGGCGGCGUGCUUAACACAUGCAAGUCGAACGGAAAGGCCCAAGCUUGCUUGGGUACUCGAGUGGCGAACGGGUGAGUAACACGUGGGUGAUCUGCCCUGCACUUCGGGAUAAGCCUGGGAAACUGGGUCUAAUACCGGAUAGGACCACAUUUUGGAUGGUGUGGUGGAAAGUUUUUCGGUGUGGGAUGAGCUCGCGGCCUAUCAGCUUGUUGGUGGGGUAAUGGCCUACCAAGGCGUCGACGGGUAGCCGGCCUGAGAGGGUGUACGGCCACAGUGGGACUGAGAUACGGCCCAGACUCCUACGGGAGGCAGCAGUGGGGAAGAUUGCACAAUGGGCGCAAGCCUGAUGCAGCGACGCCGCGGGGGGGAUGACGGCCUUCGGGUUGUAAACGCCUUUCGCUAGGGACGAAGCGUUAUGUGACGGUACCUGGAGAAGAAGCACCGGCUAACUACGUG